GGGGCUGUAGCUCAGUUGGGAGAGCACCUGCCUUGCAAGCAGGGGGUCAAGGGUUCAAAUCCCUUUAGUUCCA
rnacentral:tRNA from 1 species